UGGGGAAUAUUGCACAAUGGGCGCAAGCCUGAUGCAGCCAUGCCGCGUGUGUGAAGAAGGCCUUCGGGUUGUAAAGCACUUUCAGCGGGGAGGAAGGCGUUAAGGUUAAUAACCUUGGCGAUUGACGUUACCCGCAGAAGAAGCACCGGCUAACUCCGUGCCAGCAGCCGCGGUAAUACGGAGGGUGCAAGCGUUAAUCGGAAUUACUGGGCGUAAAGCGCACGCAGGCGGUCUGUCAAGUCGGAUGUGAAAUCCCCGGGCUCAACCUGGGAACUGUAUUCGAAACUGGCAGGCUAGAGUCUUGUAGAGGGGGGUAGAAUUCCAGGUGUAGCGGUGAAAUGCGUAGAGAUCUGGAGGAAUACCGGUGGCGAAGGCGGCCCCCUGGACGAAGACUGACGCUCAGGUGCGAAAGCGUGGGGAGCAAACAGG
rnacentral:rRNA from 1 species